AGUGAACGCUGGCGGUAGGCCUAACACAUGCAAGUCGAACGGCAGCACAGUAAGAGCUUGCUCUUACGGGUGGCGAGUGGCGGACGGGUGAGGAAUACAUCGGAAUCUACUUUUUCGUGGGGGAUAACGUAGGGAAACUUACGCUAAUACCGCAUACGACCUACGGGUGAAAGCAGGGGAUCUUCGGACCUUGCGCGAUUAAAUGAGCCGAUGUCGGAUUAGCUAGUUGGCGGGGUAAAGGCCCACCAAGGCGACGAUCCGUAGCUGGUCUGAGAGGAUGAUCAGCCACACUGGAACUGAGACACGGUCCAGACUCCUACGGGAGGCAGCAGUGGGGAAUAUUGGACAAUGGGCGCAAGCCUGAUCCAGCCAUACCGCGUGGGUGAAGAAGGCCUUCGGGUUGUAAAGCCCUUUUGUUGGGAAAGAAAAGCAGCAGGUUAAUACCCCGCAGUUCUGACGGUACCCAAAGAAUAAGCACCGGCUAACUUCGUG
rnacentral:rRNA from 1 species